rnacentral:lncRNA from 1 species
GGAGGAGGAGAAGGGGGAGGGGAGGAAAGGAACAGGGAGACGGAUUUGGGGAUCCUGGCUGGAAGCGAUCUCUAAACCAGCUGGAGGAUUCGCUUCUCCUGCUGGUCGGACUGGGUGACUUGGAAGCUCUGGGUAGAGGUGGUGGAUCUCGGCCUAGUUUGUUUGCUCAAAUAGAACUCUACUAGAGGAAAUCAAUCAAUCUGCAGAAAAAAAAACAAAAAAAAUGGAAGUAGGAGUUUGGGGAGAGUUGUCACUUCCCCAACGGGAGAGUCGCUGGCUUGGGGCGGAGACUUGGGACCAAAGAGAGGCCCUUCUCAACCAUCUCAGCUCCUUUCACAGGACUUCCAGAAGGAAGAUUGCACCUUCUCCCGGCUUCUUCCCCUACUCCCAUCUUGCUCGCCUGCCAGACUGUACCUCCUUACCCUAGGAGCCAGAGAAGCCAGGUUCCCGAGCCCAAGAAGUCUGCUCCCACGCCCCUCCCGCUCCCACGCCUCCCCCACCCCCCUCCAGCUAUCGCCACUGCCACCACCUCGGUUCCACUCAAUCGAUUUUUGCUGCAUGUCAACACUUAUUACCGGGCUAAGAGAAUUUCAGACUCGUCUCUCCUGACCAGAGUGUGUAUCUUCACCCUGUGACUCUGAUGGAUCUUUCUUUCUUUCUAUUCUUCUGAUGAAAAUGUUUAAGGUAUUGUCCUCCUGUCCUCUCCUUUACUUUCUCUCCCUUCUAUUUUCUAUGUGCACAGUUUUGCCUUGUUUUGUUUAGGUUGUUUUAUUUUUACCCAUGUUAUAGCAAGUUAAAAAAUGGCCGGUGAUGCUGGGACCUGAUGUAUCAAGAUUAAGAAAGCCCUGGAGUGUUUUUGUUAGAGUCCAGUGACUUGCUCUACCCAGCUGUCUCCUCCACAAGUAGCAAAGCCUCUUUGCCUUGCCAGUAGUUUGCUGCAGUGGAACCCCUCGCAUGCAGCCCUGGGCUGGAACCUCUAUCCUCUGUCAUUCAGGGAAGAUGUGACCUAGAACCGACUCUGCUCUCCUAGAGAAAGCUGUGUGGCACCAUAUAGAAUAUGACUUGGAGCUCAGAAUAGUAAUAGCACAGCUCUUGGGAGCAGUUCACCAGCUCUGCCUGUGUCCCCCCCUUCCAACUCUGCUUCUCUGGGUAGGUAUCACGGUGAGGUGAGGUGGCUGCACCCAAUCAAAACGCGAUGGCAUGUUCCUCUGUCCUUUCAGAUGAACUGGCAGGGCCUUCUCGGGUAUCACUUCACGCGAUGACUGCGUUCAGUUGAGCGCCAGUCUCCCUGACAGCUUCGCCCAGCUAGGCUACGUGCUGUCGCGGGGUCUGGGAGAGGGAAGUGGAAGGAGAGACUGGGGACAGAGGUGGAGACCCUGCCUGCCAUCCCGGCACUAAGGACCGGGCUUUGCCUGUCAGAGCCCAAAGCUACAGACUUUGUUUGAAAAUAAAAUAAUGGCAAACAAAAGAAAGUGAACUAAA